rnacentral:rRNA from 1 species
UGAAGUCGGAAUCGCUAGUAAUCGUGGAUCAGAAUGCCACGGUGAAUACGUUCCCGGGCCUUGUACACACCGCCCGUCACACCAUGGGAGUGGGCUGCAAAAGAAGUAGGUAGUUUAACCUUCGGGGGGACGCUUACCACUUUGUGGUUCAUGACUGGGGUGAAGUCGUAACAAGGUAGCGCUAGGGGAACCUGGCGCUGGAUCACCUCCUUA